AGUCGACGAUUAAGCACCUUCGGGUGUGUAUAGAGUGGCGAACGGGUGAGUAACACGUGACCAGCCUGCCUCUUACAUUGGGACAACCAAAAGAAAUUCUGGCUAAUACCAAAUACUCCGCACAUAUCACAUGAUGUAUGCGGGAAAGCUUUUGCGGUAAGAGAUGGGGUCGCGGCCCAUUAGGUAGACGGCGGGGUAGAAGCCCACCGUGCCGAUGAUGGGUAGCCGGGUUGAGAGACCGACCGGCCACAUUGGGACUGAGAUACGGCCCAGACUCCUACGGGAGGCAGCAGUGGGGAAUAUUGCGCAGUGGGGGAAACCCUGACGCAGCAACGCCGCGUGCGGGAUGAAGGCCUUCGGGUUGUAAACCGCUUUCAGCAGGGAAGACAUCGACGGUACCUGCAGAAGAAGCCCCGGCUAACUACGUGCCAGCAGCCGCGGUAAUACGUAGGGGGCGAGCGUUAUCCGGAUUCAUUGGGCGUAAAGCGCGCGCAGGCGGUUGCUCAAGCGGAACCUCUAAUCUCGGGGCUUAACCUCGAGUCGGGUUCCGAACUGGACGACUCGAGUGCGGUAGAGGCAGAUGGAAUUCCCGGUGUAGCGGUGGAAUGCGCAUAUAUCGGGAAGAACACCAACGGCGAAGGCAGUCUGCUGGGCCGUCACUGA
rnacentral:rRNA from 1 species